CACAAAGUCGGAAGGGUCUGGGGACGGGAGGGGCCUGAAGUGAUCUCUGAGGCGUUGGGUUUUUCCUGGAAGGCCCUGCGAGGGAAGGCAAGGACCAGCUUUUAUGGGCAAAAGGAUCAUUCACCUGACCACUAUGCAUCACCACAAACUGGAAGUACCUCCUGGGAAUGCAUGCUGAGACACUAGUGCUGGGGAUGCGGAGAAGGUUAAUGUAAGACGGGGCCAAGAUUAUCUCAGGAUUUCAUGAAGAGGAGAAAUGGAGGUCAUUUCCUAGAGAUUAAUGGAGAAUUUGAUUGUGAGAAGAAAAUUGUUUAAGGAGCAGGGGUGGGUGUGGAGGCAAAUGUCACACACUCCAGAAGGUAAAGUGACCUGGCUCUUCCCCUCUUACUUCUUGGAAAGAGGGAAAGCUCAUCAGAGCCAGGACCCUGGAAAAGCGAUGUGAUGAAGAGAAGGAGGCCCUGAACAGCACCAUCUGAAAGGCAUUUCCAAGGAAGCCAGGGAUGUGACUCUGUCUUGGUUGUGGAGAUCAAAAGGUUUUGUGAAGGAGCAAUGGCUCUCUAGCCCCCUUCUGGGUGGAUUCUGGGGUAGAGGGAUCCGGUUCCUUUGAUAACUGGUUAGUUAUAGCUAUAGGGUAAAGCCAAUUGAGUAAUAUUGGUCUGGGCUUCCAGAGACACAAGGUCUUCUUGAACCAUGAGCUCUCCGAACAAUGCCCCACCUAGGCAGAGCAGAGAACCCUGAACUUUUGCCUGGAGAGAACAAACAAGUGCACGUCUCGGGAGCCACCAGACCUGGGACUACCCAUUGGACCCCUAACCUCCACUGUUCUUGGCCUGUCUCUCUUUCCCAUUAGAUUAUGAGUUCUCUGAGGACAGAGACUACCUCUUCUCCAUCCUUGUUUCCCUAGCCUAAUACACCAUCAAAUGAUGCUGUGGAAAGAAAAAGGAAUAAAUAAAUAAACCUUAGAUAAGUGGUCCAUCCACUAAUCCUCAAUUCCUGAUUAGUAAAAUGAGAAUAACAAGAGCUACCAACAAA